rnacentral:rRNA from 1 species
AACGAACGCUGGCGGCAGGCUUAACACAUGCAAGUCGAACGCCCCGCAAGGGGAGUGGCAGACGGGUGAGUAACGCGUGGGAAUGUGCCCCAAGGUACGGAACAACAGCGGGAAACUGCUGCUAAUACCGUAUGUGACCGAGAGGUGAAAGAUUUAUCGCCUUGGGAUCAGCCCGCGUUAGAUUAGGUAGUUGGCGGGGUAAUGGCCCACCAAGCCUACGAUCUAUAGCUGGUCUGAGAGGAUGAUCAGCCACACUGGGACUGAGACACGGCCCAGACUCCUACGGGAGGCAGCAGU